rnacentral:rRNA from 1 species
UACGGAGGAUGCGAGCGUUAUCCGGAUUUAUUGGGUUUAAAGGGUGCGUAGGCGGCCUGCCAAGUCAGCGGUAAAAUUGCGGGGCUCAACCCCGUACAGCCGUUGAAACUGCCGGGCUCGAGUGGGCGAGAAGUAUGCGGAAUGCGUGGUGUAGCGGUGAAAUGCAUAGAUAUCACGCAGAACCCCGAUUGCGAAGGCAGCAUACCGGCGCCCUACUGACGCUGAGGCACGAAGGCGUGGGUAUCGAACAGG